GAUCAAACCAGCAACCUCUGGGUGAACAGGGCAUCGCCCAACCAACUGAGCCACAAGUCAGGACUGGGAAAGCUUUAUACCUGUUCUUUAAAAGGAAUAUGUGGUAGGGAGAGGUAUUUCUUUUUCGAACAAUAUCUCUCAAUGUUGUCCUGUCCUGUCUGUGUGUGACUCCUAAACAUUUUGUGGCCUUGAGAAGAGAAGGCCAAGGACAAAAGCCAAUUCGCUGAGGAUGCCUUUUCUUCAAACACUGGUGUUCCAAAGAUGAAAGGUAUCCUAUCUACAGCAAAUGAAUACCACUUUUCUUCAGGUUUACAGCACACUUUUGGACUAUUUCACUGGUAGCAAAUGGACAUGAACAACAUGGAGUUUAUAGAAGAAAGCAGGAGAAUGAAUACAUCUGUCAAACACCAACAAAAUGGACUAGAAGGGGGGAAUAAAGCUAAAAUGAAUUGAGUUGACUGGUUCUAUGUGCACACUCUAUUAGCAGCAUUACUUCACAGUCCUCCCACCAACCUCAGGAGACAGAUCAACCAUCCAUUCAUUCAACUAUGAAACAUCUGCGACGAGUAAGGCUGUGUACAAGGAGCUUGGGAUGCCACAGCAAACAAAAUGCACACUCCUUACCCCCGUGGAGCUUCUAUUCCAGCAGUGGAGACAGAUUACCAGAAAAUUAUUACAUUAUGAUCCUCUUACGUGUAGAGGAGGAGUAGGACAGGGUGAUUUGAGUAGGUGACCAUGUAAUGGAUGCCUUACACAAUAUGGAGAUCAUGUCAGGAAAGCUUUUUUUUUUUUUUAAGAAAAUCGUAUUUACAACUAGGU